AGCCUAAAAAGCAUUCGAAUAAAAUUUCACAAAAGUAAUUUAGGCAUAAUCCAUCUUCAGUUGGCAUGCAAUGUCUACCCUAAACUAAUGCGGUAGCACACCACAUCUUCCUUAAGCAUGGACUAUCUUAUAUUUACCUAGUGAUCAUGAAGAACAGUUGUACGAACAUCAUACUUAAAAUCACAGAAAUUAAAUAUGAUUCAAAAGAAGAUAUCCAUUAAAAACAAUAAGUUUAUACAACCCCAAAAAUAUAAAAUAAAAUAUAAAACUCGUGUUCCUUUGUUAGGGCUGCAUCCAGCUCCAGUGAAAAGAUUAGCCUUCCAUAAAGAGUUGAACAGCUGCACCUGCAGGGGGACUUCAUGAUGAUUGGCUCCUUCCUCCCGUCGGUUUCCUCCCCCUUUUGGACUUCUGUGGGAACUCCACCUGGGAACACGAUGAUUGAUUAUUCGGUGAGUAGGAAUGCCCCCCACCCUUCAUGUCCUGGUUCCUUUUAUAGGCUGCCCACCUCCCCUGUUUUGCUUCACGUGUGAGUGAGAAGAUAAGGACGCGGAAGGCAUGCUGCUGGAUGGAAUUGAUCCGGACGCGUNN
rnacentral:lncRNA from 1 species